GCCUUCGUGGUGUAAUAGCCAAGCACACUCGGCGCGUAUUCAAGAGGUCCGUGGUUCGAACCCCGGCGAGAGCA
rnacentral:tRNA from 1 species